GACGAACGCUGGCGGCGUGCUUAACACAUGCAAGUCGAACGAUGAAGCCGGAGCUUGCUCUGGUGAAUUAGUGGCGAACGGGUGAGUAACACGUGAGUAACCUGCCCUUGACUCUGGGAUAACUGCGGGAAACUGUAACUAAUACCGGAUACGACCCUCGGAGGCAUCUCCUGGGGGUGGAAAGAAUUUCGGUCAAGGAUGGACUCGCGGCCUAUCAGCUAGUUGGUGAGGUAACGGCUCACCAAGGCGACGACGGGUAGCCGGCCUGAGAGGGUGACCGGCCACACUGGGACUGAGACACGGCCCAGACUCCUACGGGAGGCAGCAGUGGGGAAUAUUGCACAAUGGGCGCAAGCCUGAUGCAGCAACGCCGCGUGGGGGAUGACGGCCUUCGGGUUGUAAACCUCUUUUAGUAGGGAAGAAGCGAAAGUGACGGUACCUGCAGAAAAAGCACCGGCUAACUACGUGCCAGCAGCCGCGGUAA
rnacentral:rRNA from 1 species